CAGAGUUCCUUCGAGCUCCCUAGGUUCCCGCGGGGGCUGAGGCGGCGGCCGCCGGCGGGGAGGGGGCUUGGGUCUGCUGCGGAUUGGGUGAGGAGCGGGCAGAGCAACGGACACUGUCCCAUUUCUGAGAGGCCCCAGAAACCCUGCUGUUGGGAGCCUGGGCAUCCUGAAGUCCCGGCUGUGCAGCCCAAGGAUGCGGCUGUGCAGCCUAGCAGAGACCCCCACACAUCUCCAUAGGCUGUACAGUGGAGAGCAGACCACAUCUGGGGUGCGAGGGCAGGCUGCAAAGCACCGCUGUCCCACUUCAGGGCUUCGCGGAACAGCGGCGCAUUCCACUCUAUUACAGCUCCAGGGUGUCGGGCGUACACUCUGACCCUAAACUGCCCGGGCUCCCGGAUCCCAAGGCCCUACCCUGACAACCCCGCAAGUUUGGGUCGCGGUAACUAGUGCUUGUUGUCGCCUGAGAAGACACCAUUCUACAUAGGGGAUCAUGACUUCCAAACCAGGGCAAGUGGCUUCAAAAAGACGCUGGAGGACAGAAUCCGUCUUGGGGGCGGAGCAUCGGGGAGAACAGUCACAUGCAGGAAGCGGAAGCCCUGCCCACCUCUCAGCUUCUCCCAACCUGUAGUAGCACAUGUCUAGGUCUACCUCUUACUUUUGUCCAGCCUGGUCCCGGGUGAUGGCUCCGCCUGGAGAUCCGCGGCGCCUCUGCAAGCUGGUGCAAGAAGGCCGCCUGCGCGCCCUGCAGGAGGAGCUGAAAGUAGCCGGAGGUUGCCAGGAGCCGGAAAUUGCAAGAGGCUGCCUGGGGCCUGGUGGGGACACCCUUCUCCACUGUGCAGCUCGCCACGGGCACCGGGACAUCCUAGCCUACCUAGUGGAGGCUUGGAGUAUGGACAUUGAGGCUGCCAACCGAGACUACAAGCGGCCUCUGCAUGAAGCUGCCUCUAUGGGCCACCGGGACUGCGUGCGCUACCUCCUGGGCCGAGGUGCAGCUGUGGACUCCUUGAAGAAAGCGGACUGGACUCCUCUGAUGAUGGCUUGCACAAGGAAGAACCUUGAAGUGAUCCAGGACCUUGUGGAACACGGUGCCAAUCCACUACUGAAGAACAAGGACGGCUGGAACAGUUUCCACAUUGCCAGUCGAGAAGGCGAACCUGUGAUCCUCCGGUACUUGCUCACAGUCUGCCCAGAUGUUUGGAAAACAGAGAGCAGAAUUAGAAGAACUCCUUUACACACUGCAGCAAUGCAUGGCUGCUUCGAAGCAGUGCAGGAGCUUCUUGAGAGGUGUCACUAUGAACCAGACUGUAGAGACAACUGUGGUGUCACGCCCUUCAUGGAUGCAAUUCAGUGUGGCCAUGUAAGCAUAGCCAAACUGCUCCUUGAAAAACACGAGGCUUGCUCUUCAGCUGCAGAUAGCCUGGGGGCCCAGGCUCUACACCGGGCAGCAGUCACUGGGCAGGGUAAAGCCCUACGAUUCCUGGUGUCCGAUCUUGGCAUUGAUGUGGAUGUGAGAGCAACGUCAACCGGGCUCACAGCACUUCAUUAUGCAGCUAAGGAAGGACAGACGAGCACAGUUCAAACUCUGUUAUCCUUGGGUGCCGACAUCAACGCUAAAGAUGAAAGAAAUCGCUCAGCCCUGCAUCUCGCCUGUGCAGGUCAGCAUGUGGCUUGCACCAGGUUCCUCCUGAAGUUAGGACUGAAGGAUUCUGCAGACCUAACAGGCACCCUGGCCCAGCAACUCACACAGAGUGUAGAUAUCCUUCAGUACUUUGACCACGACGUGGAAUCAUAAGGACGUUGGAAGAAGAGGCAGUGAAGUUCAUGGUGAUUCACAUCAAGCUUUUUCAGUUACCAACAGAUCAUGUGAAUGGAUAGUUUGCCUGCAUGUAUGUCUGUGAGUCACAUUCCUGGUACCUUCAGAGGCCAGAGAAGACAUCCGAUUUUCCAGGACUAGACUUACAGACAGUUGUGAGCCUCCAUAUGGAUGCUGGGGAUCAAACCUCAGAUCCCCUGGAGAGAAACCAGUACUCUUAACCACUGAGCUGAGCCAUCUGUCCAGCCCCAGGAAUAAGACUUUAAGCUUUAAGAACUUUUUGUUUGUUUUAAUAGACAAGUUCAAUCAUGAGCAAGACCUAAUCCUCAUUAGUUUAGUAUGAUCCAGCCAAUACUAUUGCACACCCAUCUGCAGUAUUGUGGUUGCCUUGGCAAACAGCAAAGACUUCCAACUCCUCUUAAUAUCCUCCUGAGGAGUUCAUAAGUCUCUGUUUCUAACCACCAAAUAAAUGUUCCUGUAAAAACACAGUCCUGUCUUGUAAUCUCUUCGUCAUACACUGUAUACCUAUGCUUAUCUGAGAUGGGUUUCCAUUCUCCCUGUGUCACAGAACUCUUCAUUUCAAUGUCUUUUGGGUCUGAGGAUGAUCCUGCUGUGUGAUACCCUAUGUAUGGGUGCUGGGGCCCAAAGGUCACCCUUAGCUUGUGCACGUGCACACACACACACACACACACACACACACACACACAGCUUUCUAUUCAUUCUCAUACAUAUUCUUUCUCCCCUCCCUCCUCCCCCUAUAACUAAAGCAUUUCUGUGUACCUGAAGCUAGCCUCAGACUUGUAUUUUUAAGCUCUGAGUGCUGAAACUUGAAACCUGAGCUAUAAUGCCUGGUAUCUCUUUUUUUGCUUGUUAUUCUCCACUCAUAAUUAAUUCCCAUGUGUCAUACUACUUCUGCCCUUCCCAGUACUAAACUCUAAAAAUGCUGAUUACUACAGGCCACUACUAAAAUUACUCAAUAGCCAUAGAUGAUAGUGGUUAUCACAACAUUAAUUGUAGGAAAAAAGUAGUAAUAAUAUGUGCUAACAAUGGAGCUGGAAAGAUGGCUCAGAGGUUAAGAGCACUGGUUGCUCUUCCAAAGGUCAUGAGUUCAAUUCCUAGCAACUACAUGGUGGCUCACAACCAUCUAAAAUGAAAUCUGGUGCCCUCCUCUGGCCUGCAGGUGUACAUGCAAACACAUAUUGUAUACAUAAUAAAUAAAUAUUUUUUAAAAAUGUGCUAACAAUACACGAUUGCUAUAAUACUAUAUUAGAAAUGCUAAUAGCAAUGCAGAUAAUUAUUCCCCCUAAUUAUAGUUACUUUUUUUUUUUUCAUUUUCUUUGGUUACCAAAAGUUACUUUCCCAGGCCUCUCUACCUAAAAUUUUACCCUUUUCCUCAGCACUUGCCACCUCCUUCUUUGUGGUGGUUAGCUUUACCUGUCAGCUUCAGUGUCCACGCAACCUAAAGCCACCUGGAAAGGAGGUCUCAUUGGUUUGGCAGUGGGUAUGUCUGUGAGGGGUUGUCUUAAAAUUAAGUUACUCAAGGAAAGACCCAUCCCACUGUGGGCAGCUGCUGGGAUAAUCUUUUUGUAAAACUGUAUAAAGGUUGUCUUUGUUUUUUCUUUCUUUUUUAUUAAUUAAUUCAGUUUACUUCUUGGUCAUAGGCCCCUGCGUCAUCUCCCAGUCCUACCUUCCCUCCUGUAUCCCCUACCCAGACACCCCAGUUCAUCUAGUCACAUGAAAACUGAGUUCAUCUUCCUCCCUGUGGCCUUGUAGGGAAGUCCCAUCAGGGGAAGUGAUCAAAAAGCAGGCAACAUAGUCUCUGUCAGAGAUGUCCCCACUUCCUUAACUAGUGGGUCGAUAUGAAGCCUGAGAUGCCCAUUGGACUUAUCUUCUUGAGGUCUGCAUUGUAGUAUGUCUAGCCUGUACUAUAAUGACUAAAAUCUACUUAUAACUGAGUAUCCAUUUGCCUGCAUAAAGCUUUUCUUUGUAUUUCUCAGAUGUUGAUUUCUGUACCAGCAGAGAGCUGAGGACUGCCUGGAUUUUGCUAUUGUUAUUUGUUUUGGAUCAUCACCUCCCUGAGUAAUUUGUAAACAUUCUUCUCUGUCACUUUCCGAUUGGUUUAAGAAAGAGCUGGCCUAUAACAAAACAGGAGAAGAAAGGUGGGACUUCUGGGCAGAGAUAGGAGUGCUAGGAAAGAAUCAGGCACAUGGGGGGUGUUCCCCCACCCCCGCCAGCCAGCCAGGAGGAAGUCAUACUAGGAUAUAGAGAAGUACCAAGCCAUGUGGCCUAUGUGGACUACAGUAGAUGGGGUAAUUAAGUUAUGUGAGCUAGUUGGAAACAAGCCGAAGCUAGCUAUAAAACCUAAGCUUUCAUAAAUAAUAAAAAGUCUCUGUGUCAUUAUGGGAGCUGGCGGGUGGAGACAGUCCCACAGUAGGCAGCACCAUUACCUGCAGGGGGUGUCCUGAAAUGUGUAAGAGGGGAGAAAUUGAGCUGAACAUAAGCAAGCAGACAAGUGAGUAUGAUGCAGUCAUAUCUCUCUGCUUUAACUCUGGAUGUGAUGUGAUAGCUUGAAAUCCCUGCUUUGACUGCUGCACGUGAACUGACUAUGGCCUGGAAUUUGUAAGCUGAAAUAAACCUUUCUCCUCCAA